UGUCUCUCUCUCUCCAAGGCACCAGUCUUCAUUUUCUGAGAGACCCUUGGCACAAAGGAGUGGAGCCCUGGGAAGAGGCUAACCACUGAAGAUCACAGAUGAGCUCUUGGGAAGGUAGCCAGAGAUGAAAGAAUGAAAAGCUGCAUCCUGAGUUGCAAGAUUUUCCUCUUGAAAUGAGGCUUCUUCUGGCUUCAGCCAAACCCUGUGCGGAGGGAG